ACACUUACAUGGCAGGGAAGAGUCCAUGACCAAGAACGUGGUUUUCCCAGGGCAAGGCUUACUCACUGCUCUCCGGAUAUGCUGACCCCUGUGAUUCCCCAAACGUGGGAAACACGAUUGCAUAAUUUGUGGUAGGGGAGACUGUGUUCAUACUCCCCCUUA
rnacentral:snRNA from 1 species